rnacentral:rRNA from 1 species
UACCCGCUGAAUUUAAGCAUAUCACUAUGCGGAGGAAAAGAAAUCAACCGAGAUUCCUUUAGUAACGGCRAGUGAAAGAGGAUGAGCUCAGCGUGUAGUCCCUAUUUCUAGGGAGAUGCCACGUAUGGAAAUCGAACGUUUCGAUUCGGUGUAGACUUAUCGGAAACUGAUCAAUGAACUGUCGACCGUAGAGGGUGUUAGUCCCGUUCCGAUUGUCUUUAUCCGAAUCGUUGUUCUUUUUUCGAGAGUCGGGUUGUUUGAGAAUACAGCCUGAAGAGGUGGGAAAUUCCAUCUAAAGCUAAAUACCACUGCGAGACCGAUAGCGAACAAGUACCGUGAGGGAAAGUUGAAAAGAACUCUGAAGAGAGGGUUCAAGAGAACGUGAAACUGCUACGGGGAUAAAGCGGAUACACUCGCGUCGUCGAACCGGGGAGUUCGUCCGAGAUGAUAACCUCGUCUCGGUUUAAUCUCCCUCUAGUAGGCUAGCCCGGGCGUUUCUUUCGACCGCGAUGACAGUCGAGGAAAGGGUAGAGAUACGUUUCGGCGUGACUUUGCCUCGUACUCGACGUUCAUACGAUCGCGGCCUGAUCGAGACGUUUUUUCGGGUUACCUUAGCGAAUAGUCUAUCCGUCCCGUCUUGAAACACGGACCAAGGAGUCUAACAUGCGCGCGAGUCAAAGGGCAAUUACUAAACCCCUAGGCGAAGCGAAAGCAAUUUAAUUUUAAGGGAGAUGGGUAGCGUUUCUAUGCUACCUCGCAUCCCUGGGGAGAAGACUUAUACUUUCUCACCUUGAGCGCGCACGUUGGUACCCGAAAGAUGGUGAUCUAUGCUUGACCUGGACGAAGCCAGAGGAAACUCUGGUGGAGGUCCGUAGCGAUUCUGACGUGCAAAUCGUUCGUA